CAGAGAGGGUCAAAAUAAUUCUCGGGCGAAACUGAAGGAGGCGGGAUUGGUCUCGCCGUGGGAUUUCAAACUAGCGGGAAUUUUGGAGAUUCGAACGUCUCACGCCCAGUUUCACGGAUGAGGACAUGACUAAAGCCGUGCAUAGGUGAACACUUUUCUAUGUCUCCUUGAACAUGUGUAAUGUUUCUCCAGAAGACACACCUAGAAGUGGAAUUGCUGGGUUAUCAGGCACGAGGAGUCUGACCCUGAAUCUGCUCACCUCUGGGUAAACUCGAAAAGUCAAUCCUAGACCAGUGUGACGCGAAGGAGAUAAAAAUGUGUAAAGCUCUGCCUGCUGGCCUGCUGGCUUCUAUCACUGCCACCUCUAGAUCAAUCAUCCGGUUACUGACCAGAGUAUUUACUUUGCUCUAAAGCUGAAAAUAAAACAUCCCAAAAUUUUAAGCCUGGGAGGGGUGGUUUCACAAGAUCUUCUUCAGUUUUCUUUGUAUUAUUUUUCUGUAUAAUGUGACUAUAUUAAAUACAUUAUUUCCUGCCUCCCAUCAGGUCAAGGAAAUAAAGCUGAAUGAAACCAAAAUUAGUGUCUUGGCCUUGUGGA